rnacentral:misc_RNA from 1 species
CAACCCUCGAGCCCGACUUCCUUGCGGAGGACGGCUCGGCGUUGGGGGACGGCACACUCCCCCCGGCUCGCCGGGGACGCCGCCCCCGAAAUUCAGUGGCGGCCCUCGGAGGCGACCUCUGCGUAGUAACUCAACCUCGCAAAGGGAAGCUCCGAGCGGCCACGCCGUGAAACCCCAACUAUAUCAA